rnacentral:misc_RNA from 1 species
ACAAACUUGGUCAUUUAGAGGAAGUAAAAGUCGUAACAAGGUUUCCGUAGGUGAACCUGCGGAAGGAUCAUUAACAAUUGUCCUCUCAUGGAUAAUUUUAUCCAUAUCCACCUUGUGUGAAUCAUUGAAGUGUCUGUUGACAGGUUUAGUCUCCCCUAUGGGAGUGCUGUGGAGUUGGGCAUUGAAAUAUUUCAACGCCUUUGUCGUCCGCCUGCCAAUUUUAUUAUAUGUAAAAACGCGUCUAAAUAUUUUUGGACUGAAAUAUAUAUUAAUUUAAUAACAAAUACAACUUUCAACAACGGAUCUCUUGGCUCUCGCAUCGAUGAAGAACGCAGC